GAUGAACGCUAGCUACAGGCUUAACACAUGCAAGUCGAGGGCCCGGCGUACGGGUGAGUAACGCGUAUCCUACCUUCCCAUUCCUGUGGGAUAUCCUGCCGACAGGCAUACUAAUACCGCAUAGUAAUGGUUGGGGAUGCGUCUGAUUAGCUUGUUGUCGGGGUAACGGCCCACCAAGGCGACGCUCAGUAGGGGUUCUGAGAGGAAGAGCCCCCGAAGUGGGAAGAAGACACGGUCCAGACACCAACGAGAGGCAGAAGUGAGGAAUAUGGGGCAAUGGAAGGAAGUCUGAAACAACAAAGUAGCGGGAAGGAUGACGGCCUAUGGGUUGUAAACUGCUUUUAGAAGGGGAUAGGUACCAUAUGAAUAAGGACCGGCUAACUCCGUGCCAGCAGCCGCGGUAAUAC
rnacentral:rRNA from 1 species